rnacentral:rRNA from 1 species
AGUCGAACGCUUCUUUUUCCACCGGAGCUUGCUCCACCGGAAAAAGAAGAGUGGCGAACGGGUGAGUAACACGUGGGUAACCUGCCCAUCAGAAGGGGAUAACACUUGGAAACAGGUGCUAAUACCGUAUAACAAUCAAAACCGCAUGGUUUUGAUUUGAAAGGCGCUUUCGGGUGUCGCUGAUGGAUGGACCCGCGGUGCAUUAGCUAGUUGGUGAGGUAACGGCUCACCAAGGCCACGAUGCAUAGCCGACCUGAGAGGGUGAUCGGCCACAUUGGGACUGAGACACGGCCCAAACUCCUACGGGAGGCAGCAGUAGGGAAUCUUCGGCAAUGGACGAAAGUCUGACCGAGCAACGCCGCGUGAGUGAAGAAGGUUUUCGGAUCGUAAAACUCUGUUGUUAGAGAAGAACAAGGAUGAGAGUAACUGUUCAUCCCUUGACGGUAUCUAACCAGAAAGCCACGGCUAACUACGUGCCAGCAGCCGCGGUAAUACGUAGGUGGCAAGCGUUGUCCGGAUUUAUUGGGCGUAAAGCGAGCGCAGGCGGUUUCUUAAGUCUGAUGUGAAAGCCCCCGGCUCAACCGGGGAGGGUCAUUGGAAACUGGGAGACUUGAGUGCAGAAGAGGAGAGUGGAAUUCCAUGUGUAGCGGUGAAAUGCGUAGAUAUAUGGAGGAACACCAGUGGCGAA